rnacentral:RNase_P_RNA from 1 species
CGAGUCGGCCGGGUGACCGCGGCACGCGAACCGGCGCCCCCAUUUCGGGGCGGCCAGGCGCGGCGUCGAGGAAAGUCCGGACUCCACAGAGCACGGUGAUUGCUAACGGCAACCCGGGGCAACCCGCGGGCACGUGCAACAGAAAGUAAACCGCCUCCAGGCAGCGGGCUUCGGCCCGGUCCUGGGGGUAAGGGUGAAAGGGUGCGGUAAGAGCGCACCGGCGGGUCAGGUGACUGGCCCGGCCAGGUAAACCCCACCGGGAGCAAGGCAACGAGGCCCCCGUGAACCGUCGCCGCGUGCGGCGGACACGUGGGGCCGGGAGUUGGCGAAGCAAGGGCUGCUCGCCCUUUUUCACGCCGACAGGUAGCUGCGUGAGGCGGCCAGUGAUGGUCGACCCAGAUGGAUGGUCACCCCGGCCCGGAGACGGGCCGGACAGAAUCCGGCUUAUAGGCUGGCUCGUUCG